rnacentral:rRNA from 1 species
UACGGAAGGCAGCGGUGGGGAAUAUUGCACAAUGGGCGAAAGCCUGAUGCAGCUAUGCCGCGUGUAUGAAGAAGGCCUUAGGGUUGUAAAGUACUUUCAUCGGGGAGGAAAAAACAAAACUAAUAAUUUUAUUUCUUGACGUUACCCGAAAAAGAAGCACCGGCUAACUCCGUGCCAGCAGCCGCGGUAAUACGGAGGGUGCUAGCGUUAAUCAGAAUUACUGGGCGUAAAGAGCACGUAGGUGGUUUUUUUAAAGUCAGAUGUGAAAUCCCUGGGCUUAACCUAGGAACUGCAUUUUGAAACUGAAAUACUAGAGUAUCGUAGAGGGAGGUAGAAUUCUAGGUGUAGCGGUGAAAUGCGUAGAUAUCUGGAGGAAUACCUGUGGCGAAAGCGGCCUCCUAAACGAAUACUGACACUGAGGGUGCGAAAGCGUGGGGAGCAAACAGGGAUUAGAUACC